UCAACGAGUCUUUAUCCUUGGCCGACAGGCACGGGUAAUCUUUGAAAUUUCAUCGUGAUGGGGAUAGAUCAUUGCAAUUGUUGGUCUUCAACGAGGAAUUCCUAGUAAGCGCGAGUCAUCAGCUCGCGUUGACUACGUCCCUGCCCUUUGUACACACCGCCCGUCGCUCCUACCGAUUGAAUGAUCCGGUGAAGUGUUCGGAUCGCGUCGACGUGAGCGGUUCGCUGCCCGCGACGUCGCGAGAAGUCCACUGAACCUUAUCAUUUAGAGGAAGGAGAAGUCGUAACAAGGUUUCCGUAGGUGAACCUGCGGAAGGAUCAUUGUCGAAUCCCUAAAAACAAAAAUGACUUGAGAAUAUGUUCAAUAGCAUGCAUCGGGUGUGAGGGUAAAGCCUCUUCGUCCGUUGCUCUUUGUCCGACCAAUCGUUGGUUGUGUUGGGCAGUAAAAAACAAAAAUCGGCACGGGAAGUGCCAAGGGCUUAUGAAAUGGGAUGCUUUAUCGUGGAAGGGGAACCGUUCGCGGUAUACCUUUAUCACGAUUCUCAAAAGGUCUCCGUAAAUGAAACCUUAUACGACUCUCGACAACG
rnacentral:rRNA from 1 species